GCGCGAAAACUUUACAAUGCUGGCAACAGCGAUAAGGGAACCUCGAGUGCCAGGUUACAAAUCUGGCUGUCGAGAUGCCUAAAAAGCAUUUCAUAGCAAGGGCCGGGCAAGACCGGUGCCAGCCGCCGCGGUAACACCGGCGGCUCGAGUGGUAACCGUUAUUAUUGGGUCUAAAGGGUCUGUAGCCGGCCGGAUAAGUCUCUUGAGAAAUCUGGCAGCUUAACUGUCAGGCUUUCAGGAGAUACUGUCUGGCUCGAGGCCGGGAGAGGUGAGAGGUACUUCAGGGGUAGGGGUGAAAUCUUGUAAUCCUUGAAGGACCACCAGUGGCGAAGGCGUCUCACCAGAACGGAUCUGACGGCAAGGGACGAGAGCUAGGGGCACGAACCG
rnacentral:rRNA from 1 species